AGUAAACAGCACAGUGACGGAGCAGCAGUAUCUCAGCUCUGUGAGGGCCAGCGUCGUGUUUUUGCUGGGUUACAGAAGUUACCAGAAGAAGCUCAACAGCGUGUUUAGCUCUGAACAUCCAGCUGCUGUUUAGAGACGAUGGUGGAGAGAGAUGGAGAGAGUAGACCAGAGUUUACCUGCUCUGCUCUUCUCAAACCCGCACCAUUCCUACCGAGGAUCCAGAGCCAGAACAAGACUCCUGACCCCUGAGCCUCCAAGAUUGACUUCCUGGGUACAUGCAGAGUAGACGGCCAUCUAGCAGCUCGCAUUGGUGCCCAGAAGACUGACGUAAGCCGAUUCUUUUUCAUUCAUUGCAUACCAUCCCCCUCAGAGGCGUUACCACUUCCUCCCCCACUCCAAACAGCCACCCCGGCCACGGUACAGCAGCACAGAACAAAGACUAAAGGCAUACCAAAGCCCGUCUGUCUACAACUGAAAAAGACCAGAAACAUGCGGAUUCAAAGCAUGGAUGCAAAGCCAGCAUUCCGUUUUGAGGAGAACGCGAGCUUCACCUGCAGCACAGGCAGCAGAAAGGAAGCACUUGGCAUGCAUAGGGUCACCUCAGGACAACCAGUUGGUAGCUAUACAGUUUUGUCCAAUACUGAAGGAAGAGUUUCAAAUGGCUUCUGGAGAACAACAUGGGCUACGCUUUCAUGGUCCUCGCUGAGCAUCAGAGGGAACGGAAGUCAGGCGAGACUGCCCUUAUAAGCAAUAAGGAUGUUCUCCUCAAGUACACCAGCUUCCACUUUGAUCUUGCUGAGGCCAUAAGGCAGCAGAGGCAGAGGGCACACAAGUUGAUGAAUGCUUGGUGGGCUUUCGUGCACACAAGAUGUGCACCUGUGAGGAGCUGUAGGAGUCUCUGGACAAGGAGAAAAAGAAGUAAAGAAACCCUAAGCCAUACUGUUUUUAUUAUUGGGGCACUAGCAGUGUUACUGUAAAUAGACAAAUGUAACAGACGUAGAAGUAGAAAUGCUAAGAUUUAAAAGAAAUUGAUUGUUAACUUUUUUUUUGUUUUAUUAAAAUUCAGUUUCGAGGCACAGUCUAAAAGUGUUUAUCAAAAAUUGUUGUUCUGUUACACCCCGUCUGCCAUAUCUGAGCAAAUCGCACCAAAACUUGCUUGAUUUAAAAUGUUUUUAUUUGUUUAUUAGUGUGAUUUUAUUUGGAAUUCUACAAUUAAACCUGUUUUGAAACCUCAAAA